CCUGGUGGUUAAAGAAAAGAGGAAACACCUGUUAACAUUCCGAACACAGAAGUUAAGCUCUUAUUCGCUGAUGGUACUGCGAGUUCGCGGGAGAGUAGGUUAUUGCCAGGG
rnacentral:rRNA from 1 species